AGUCCCCUGCCUUGUGCGUGAUUGAUAUAACUUGUGCCUCGUAAAUAAUUUAAUUGGGAGCUAUCCCCGGGAAAGGGUGAGCACGCCCAGGCACGACUGGGUAGCCUAACUUUUCCUAUGGCGCCCACCUGGCAAUGACCAGGUCCAAGUUAUCAGCACGGCAAGAGUGGGGGACUU
rnacentral:other from 1 species